UUGAGGGUGAUGAAAAAAAAUAUCAUUCGGAUUCCCAUUGAUUUCCUCCGGGGAAAGAUGUGAUAAUUUAUCAGCUACUUUUGACGCAU
rfam:Eutrema salsugineum unplaced genomic scaffold scaffold_9, whole genome shotgun sequence.